rnacentral:ncRNA from 1 species
AAUACAACAUUGAAGAGAAGAGUAGACUUGUAGAUGAGUUAAAAGAGAGCCCGAAUGGUGAGAGCGGGUACUUAUUGAACAGUUGAAGAUGAGCUCUGAGUUUCCAUUUUGUUUACGCAAUUUGGACGGUUACCCCGUUAAUGGUCAUGUCUUAUUAGAGACAAGGAGGCAUAGUAUUUUACUAUGUAAAUUAGGGUGGUAACACGAUAUGAUCGUCCCUUUG